ACUCCUACGGGAGGCAGCAGUAGGGAAUCUUCCACAAUGGGCGCAAGCCUGAUGGAGCAACACCGCGUGAGUGAAGAAGGGUUUCGGCUCGUAAAGCUCUGUUGUUAAAGAAGAACACGUAUGAGAGUAACUGUUCAUACGUUGACGGUAUUUAACCAGAAAGUCACGGCUAACUACGUGCCAGCAGCCGCGGUAAUACGUAGGUGGCAAGCGUUAUCCGGAUUUAUUGGGCGUAAAGAGAGUGCAGGCGGUUUUCUAAGUCUGAUGUGAAAGCCUUCGGCUUAACCGGAGAAGUGCAUCGGAAACUGGAUAACUUGAGUGCAGAAGAGGGUAGUGGAACUCCAUGUGUAGCGGUGGAAUGCGUAGAUAUAUGGAAGAACACCAGUGGCGAAGGCGGCUACCUGGUCUGCAACUGACGCUGAGACUCGAAAGCAUGGGUAGCGAACAGGAUUAGAUACCCUGGUAGAAUAGCG
rnacentral:rRNA from 1 species